rnacentral:rRNA from 1 species
CCUACGGGGGGCUGCAGUGGGGAAUAUUGGACAAUGGGGGGAACCCUGAUCCAGCCAUGCCGCGUGUGUGAAGAAGGCCCUCGGGUUGUAAAGCACUUUCAGUGAGGAAGAACGCCUGGUGGUUAAUACCCAUCAGGAAAGACAUCACUCACAGAAGAAGCACCGGCUAACUCCGUGCCAGCAGCCGCGGUAAUACGGAGGGUGCGAGCGUUAAUCGGAAUUACUGGGCGUAAAGCGCGCGUAGGUGGCUUGAUAAGCCGGUUGUGAAAGCCCCGGGCUCAACCUGGGAACGGCAUCCGGAACUGUCAAGCUAGAGUGCAGGAGAGGAAGGUAGGAUUCCCGGUGUAGCGGUGAAAUGCGUAGAGAUCGGGAGGAAUACCAGUGGCGAAGGCGGCCUUCUGGACUGACACUGACACUGAGGUGCGAAAGCGUGGGUAGCAAACAGGAUUAGAUACCCGAGUAGUC